UAACCAGAUCAGACCAGCGGGUAGGUGA
rnacentral:sRNA from 1 species